rnacentral:tRNA from 1 species
CGGCGUCAGUCGUCUGCAGCAGCGGUUCGAGCAAAAGCCUCCG